CCUACGGGGGGCAGCAGUAGGGAAUCUUUCACAAUGGGCGAAAGCCUGAUGGAGCAACGCCGCGUGCAGGAUGAAGGCCUUCGGGUUGUAAACUGUUUUUAUAAGCGAGAAAUAUGAUGGUAACUUAUGAAUAAGGAUCGGCUAACUACGUGCCAGCAGCCGCGGUCAUACGUAGGAUCCGAGCAUUAUCCGGAGUGACUGGGUGUAAAGAGUUGCGUAGGUGGCAUAAUAAGUAGCUAGUGAAAUCUGGUGGCUCAACCAUUCAGACUAUUAGCUAAACUGUUAAGCUCGAGACCGUUAGGGGUAACUGGAAUUUCUAGUGUAGGAGUGAAAUCCGUAGAUAUUAGAAGGAACACCAAUAGCGUAGGCAGGUUGCUGGGACGGUUCUGACACUAAGGCACGAAAGCGUAGGGAGCAAACGGGAUUAGAUACCCCUGUAGUC
rnacentral:rRNA from 1 species